CGCGAAGCGAGAUUUCUUAUCUGGACCAAGUGAUGUCAAAUGUCUUGGUCAGUUUCCUCCUCUGUAAAAUGGGGAUAAUCGGAGAACCUGACUGAGUUGGUUGCUCUGAGGAUCAAACGUAGUAAGGUUUGUGUAGCGCUUACUUAGAACCGGACCUGGCACACAGUAAGUGCUCAAUAAACGUACAUUACCAGUGACUGGUGGGGAAGGUGUGGAUGAGCCCAGGGUCCUCAUUGUAGCCUGGGGGAGCCUGGUCCCUCUCCCAGCUGCGGAAAGGGGCGUGGUCGCGCCCAGGGGGCGUGGCCCAGGCUUCAAGGACAGACCAAUGGGGGCGCCGAAGGGCGCGGCCCUGACCGGCAUGGGCGUGGCUUUGAGCGGGUGGGAGGGGCCAGGCCGCUGUGGGAGCCUCCGGGAAGAAGAUGCUCGGGCCAGCAGCCACCGCCAGCCCUGCCGCCGCUGCCGCCCGCACCCGCCGCCCCCCGGGUCCCCACUAGCGGCCGCCUCCGCCUCCUACCUCCGGUCCCGCUCCUCCGGCCCCCCCGCCCCGAGUAGGGUCUGGGGGGCUCGGCCCUCCGGCCGGGGGAGCAAAGAGGGGGGUCCCGACCCCCCAGUGGCGCGGCCGGUCCCUGGCCUCGGUGAUCUUGAGAGAGACCCCACCCCUCAGUUCUCUCUGGGCCCUGUCGGGGACUCCCCCUUGCCCUCCCGUCCGGCUCACACCCGCUCUCCAGGCUCUGUCAGCCCCCCAGAACCAGCUCCCUCCCUUCUUCCCUCUCCGGGGUUCCCCCUCCCCCAUCCCUCCGCCGCCGCCCCCUCCCCCCCCCACACCCCCUUCCCCCCCCCCCCCCCCCCCCCCCCCCCCCCCCCCCCCCCCCCGACCAUGAGGAUGAUGGCCGCCGGCGCGGUGCACGGCCUCUUCACGGCCUCCGCGGCCCCGCAGCCGCCGCCGCCCCCGCCGCCGCCGCCGCCGCAACCCCAGCCUCCCCAGCAGCCGUCGCCGCCGCCACAGCAGCCGCCGCCGCCGCCGCCGCAGCCGCCGCAGCAGCA
rnacentral:lncRNA from 1 species